ACCUUCCUUGUAAGAGAGAUUCUCUUGGCUAUUAAGGGGAUUGCGCUUUACGCAUCCACAAAUCCGCGCACAUUCGAAAUCAGCCUUCGAAAUUUCAAAUGUAUGCAUAUAUGUACAUUCGACGUUUGUUUAUAACGGCUGGUAGCGGCUGUUUGAAGUUGUAAGAUUCGUAACCGAUAUUUGUAUCAAAAUGUGUAAAGGUGGAAGACCAAAAAGUAAAUUAUGGGAUGAAACAAAUAGGCAAGAUGGAUGUUUAUAACCUAGCGGAUACCGCACGCCCUACGUCUGUCUUGUCCGCCAUAUUUGAUACGUUUCUCCUGUUUUUCUACGUUUACUACGGUAAACUACUUGAUUUACGUAAUGUACGCGAAAAACCUCGAAAACCGCGGAAUUAGCCAAUCCAAGUCGAAAGCAGGGUUGGGCAGUGACGCGUAAUUCGCAGUGUUUUACGUAAAAUACGUAAGGGAAGUAUUUUACGUAAAAUCCAAGUAAAAUAGCCAAUAAAUUCCAGGACAAAGAUGGCGGUACUGUAACCUCACUUUUUCAAAACGGUCAAAGUAUACGCCACUUGUAAAUAAACAUUUUAGCCAAAAAAAGAAAGGAAUAAAUAGUAAUGGCAAAUUGGAGCGAACAUUAAAAAUAUCUGGGCUUCACAUUCCAUGGAUAAUUUUGAAUUUUAAGCGUAUCGGGAAUAAAAACCGCAAAAACGUAAAGUCCCCUAUUCGUGUAAUUUACCUAACGUAUGAAAUUCGUAAAGCAAAAUACCUAGUAAAUGACUGUAAAAAAACUAGGUAAAUUACCUAGGGUAUUUGACUUACCCAGCCCUGGUCGAAAGGGGCGGUAGUUGGGCGCCCUCGCCACAGAUGGCAGCAGGCGGCGCGCGAUUCGAAUUUGGCGGCGCGCGGCGUUCGAUCACAGCGGCAGAGUCGAGGGUGGCGCCGCGGCGCGGAGAGCUCGCAGUCGCUCCCGGCGCUCCAUGCGCGUAGAGCCUUCGACUUCGCGAGGGUCCACACACGAGCCUGUUGCCAGUUAUUGAUCUGACACGAUUAAACAACACCGCAUUGCUGUCAGCUACGAAAACACUCGGCACGCAGCUCCCGCUCGGCCGUAAGACAGGCGGAGAGAGUUGGCGCGUUCGUCCUCGGCGGCUCGGCGGCACAAAUGAUCCCGAUCCCGGACGCGGCUGGCGGCUCGCGGUGACGUCACCGUGCCUCCUCCAAAAUGUAGGACUCGCUCGGCUGCAGGGAAGUCGAGAGCCCAGCGAGGACCCGGCCGGGGCGAGACGACGUCGCCCCGCGGGGGAGAGCCGGGACCGACGGCAACGCCGCGCACCAUCGUCGAGACCCGUCGAGACUGGCCGAGACCCGCCGAGACCUGCCGAGACUUGCCGAGACCCGCCGAGACUUGCCGAGACCCGCCGAGACCCGUCGCGACCCGUCGCGACCCGCCGAGAUCCGCCGCCGACCCCGAGGAGGCAACACCGCGAGGCGGCCGACGCUCCUCGUCGCGGGUCAUCCCGGCCGACGCGAUGAAGAAGUUCACCUUCAAGGGCGUCCUCGACGGCUUCCGCUCCUCGGUCGCUCAACAGGUUAAGCCCGAGCAGGAGAUCGUCGAGAACCUCAGGCCGGACCACUUUCAGGCGAAAAAGACAUUCAGGCAUGGAUUUCCACAUCAGCCUACAGCUAUGGCGUUCGACCCGGUUCAAAGGCUCCUGGCCAUCGGCACCAGAUCCGGAUCCCUCAGGAUUUUGGGGACACCGGGGGUGGAUGCCCACGUGAGACACGAAGGUGGCUCGGCUGUGAUCCAGUUGCAGUUCCUAAUUAACGAAGGUGCCCUGGUCUCCGCAACCGCGGACGACACUUUACACCUGUGGAACUUUCGCCAGAAGAUACCGCAAAUUGUCCAGAGCCUCAAGUUCCAGCGAGAAAGGAUAACGUGUAUGCACCUACCCCUACAAAGCAAAUGGCUCUACGUCGGCACCGAGCGGGGCAACAUCCACGUAUUGCACAUCGAAACGUUCGUUUUGUCGGGCUACGUGAUCAACUGGAACAAGGCCAUCGAAGUAUCGAGGAAAACUCAUCCCGGUGCCGUGGUGCAUUUGAGCGAUAAUCCUUUAGACUUAAGCAAGAUGCUGAUCGGGUACGAGACCGGGCAAAUCGUUUUCUGGGACUUAAAGACCAAACAGGCGGAUUACAGGUGUCAGUCCGACGAACCACUCAGAUCAAUAUCUUGGCAUCACGACGGGAAACAGUUUAUGUGCAGUCAUACAGAUGGAUCCCUUUCCACGUGGACUCUGAGGAACACGAAGCCGAUAAACGUUACACAUCCCCAUGCAAAGUCAACAAAAGACGGGGAGCCAGAGCCUUGUAAAUCCAUUCAGAAAGUAGAGUGGAAGCUUUGCAGAUCGUCCGGAGAGGCGUAUAUAAUAUUUUCCGGUGGACUGGGUCAUUACAACCCUUUGAGGACGUCCAGCAUCACGGUUAUACAGGGAAAGACGACGACGGUGCUCGAGAUGGAGCAGAACGUGGUGGACUUUAUAACUCUGUGCGAGAGUCCCUGGAGCAGCGACUUCCAAGAUCCUUACGCAGUAGUAGUGUUGCUGCAAAACGACCUCGUAGUCAUAGAUUUACUGACACCUGGAUUUCCUUGCUUUGAAAACCCAUAUCCCAUGGACAUUCACGAAUCUGCUGUAACUUGCUGUGCAUAUUUCGCCGAUUGCCCGUCGGACUUGGUGCCGGCCUUCUAUUCGGUUGGUUCUAAAUCGCAGAAGAAAACCGGAUUCAGUGAAAAGGAAUGGCCAGUCUCUGGCGGAGAAUGGAGCCCCAAUUCUAGUAGUUACAAUGAGAUUAUACUUACUGGACACUCCGACGGUAGCAUAAAGUUCUGGGACGCAUCGGCUGGCACGCUGCAAGUCCUCUAUAAGCUAAAGACAGCAAAGCUGUUCGAAAAGACGAAAGCUCGCAGUUUAGAGACUGACGACGACCCGCUUGCGAUACAGCUUAUUUUCCUAUGUCCCGAGAGUCGCAAGCUCGCGAUAGCAGGCUCGGGAAAGCACGUCGUCUUGUUUAAGUUCAAGAAGGUCGAAGGGAUGUCGGAGGUGGUGACCCUCGAGGUGCCCUUCGUCUCCGACUUUACGAGGGAACAAGAAAGCUCGCCGGAUUACGAGCACCCCCCUAGUGGAAACGCCUCUGGCGAGGAGUCCAAGCACUCGGUAGAGUACAAUCAUCCCUUAAAAGUGAAAAGCGGUUUGCAAAAAAGGGCAGCGGGUUUCCAAGCUACCUUGAUCUGUCUAACGUUCGGGGCCAAUGGAGAACAACCUGAGAACAUAACCGCGCUCAGUUUAAAUUCUUCCUACGGCCUCAUGGCGUACGGGAGCGACUUAGGUAUCGUAAUAGUUGACAUUGUACAGAAGGUAUCGCUGCUGGUCCUGAGCACGGCGGACCUGGGGAAUAGCGGGGAUCCUCAUCAGCGGGCCCUGAGGAGUCCCAAGAGGCAGGACGAGACCAGGAAGGAAAAUGACGAUAAGGCAAGGAGUCCAAGCGUAGACCAGAUCCGUCAGACCCAGCAAGAAACGGCGUCAGAAACCGAGCACGUAGUCGCGGUAGAGGAGCCGGACGCGUCCCUUCAUCGUCCUCGGCAGCAACAACAAGAGCCCCAGCAGGAGACGCCCUACGGAACCGACGCCGAGAGGAGAGAAAACGCGGAAGACCCCGCAGGAGAUAUCCCCAAGGCGGGAAGUACCACCAGCGACGAGGAGGGCCGUAAAAACUACAGCUGGAAGGGGUUCAGCCUGAAACGACAGCUCAGCAAAGUCGAUCUCAAGAUCAAGCACACCUUCGCCUCGUCCUCCUCCCAAAAUGGGCAGGGAGGCGGCAACCCAGGUGCGUCCAUCCAGAAAGGGACGUCGGUGUUUUACUGCAACCCCGAGAUAUCCUCGCCCCUGUCCCCAGUCGAAAGCGUGGGCUCGGAGUCCUCUCCGUCGCCCGAGCAGCAUUCGCCAUCCGGGGAGACGACCCAACCAAGCCAGGAAGUCAGCUCCACCCCCUCGGAGGGGCAGACAGCCCAAGUCGAAGAGGACAAGGUGAAGCCGACUUCUAGCAAAAACUCGGCGACCAAGUCCGAGGCCGUCCGACCGGCGAAUCUCGCGCUCUUUCCUAGCGAGGCCAGCAAACCCAGCAAAUUGAAGCUGAUGAGGGGGAACAAGCCCAAGCGAGAAGGACGGCUGCUCUCGGUGCCUAAUAUUAAGUACCAGAAGGCCGAGGGGGCCACGCGCGACCUCAGGUGCGAGGAGGAGGCCUCGUCUUCUUCCGGUGUCGAGUCCUUUGCCGGAAAUCUUAUGAGAAGAUUCAUUAACCUUACGCUCUUUUUUGGGAAUGCUGGUCGGAUAGACAAGCCCGAUACCUCGUUCCAACGCUCUCGGAGCUCGAGUAUGUCCUCUUUGGAGAACAUCGCCUCAGAAACCAUCAGCUGCCUUACUUUUGCCGAUUCCUACACGAAGAAAAGUGAUUCCAGUGCUUUACCGACUUUAUGGAUUGGUACUUCCUUGGGAUCUGUACAAACGAUCGUUUUUAACGCGCCAACCUACAGUGAGCGACACACGCAACCCUUGACGAUUUCUACAUGUAAUGGCUCAUCCUUCAAGCUCAAAGGCUCCAUUCUAACAAUGUCCUUCCUGGAUUGCAAUGGGGCUCUGAUACCAUACUCUUACGAGCCCUGGAAAGACGAGAACCUAGACGGCAAGGAUCGCAACAAAAGCCAGGGAAAGGCGAACAGCAGGACGUCGUUAUUAUCCAGCUCGCAAACGUCUGGAUCAACUGGGUCGGAUGGAUUUGAGGACCGACAAUUUGUCGUAUUGACAUCGGAGAAACAAGCGCGGGUUGUGGCCCUUCCUUCGCAAAAUUGCGUCUACAGACAGCAACUGACAGACACGGAUAUAGUUAUCAAAGCUGAAAUCACAUCUCUGAAAGACAGUGUCUGCCUCGUGUGCUAUGUUUCAAGUGGUCAUAUAGCAACAUACAGUCUACCAAGUCUCAGACCGCUGAUAGAUGUCGAUUUUUUACCCUUACUGGAUUUGAGACUACAAAACACGGCAUUGUAGACCCUAUAUUGUCCAUAUGGGGUCAUCAACUCUUUGUUAAUGGCGAUACCGAUCAGAUUGCGAGGACUCUUUGCUUCAGUAAUAAGGGUCAUGGGUUGUACCUUGCUUCACCCACGGAGAUUCAGAAGUUUACAGUGUCCAGCGAAUU
rnacentral:misc_RNA from 1 species